rnacentral:rRNA from 1 species
AGUCGAGCGAAUGGAUUAAGAGCUUGCUCUUAUGAAGUUAGCGGCGGACGGGUGAGUAACACGUGGGUAACCUGCCCAUAAGACUGGGAUAACUCCGGGAAACCGGGGCUAAUACCGGAUAAUAUUUUGAACUGCAUGGUUCGAAAUUGAAAGGCGGCUUCGGCUGUCACUUAUGGAUGGACCCGCGUCGCAUUAGCUAGUUGGUGAGGUAACGGCUCACCAAGGCAACGAUGCGUAGCCGACCUGAGAGGGUGAUCGGCCACACUGGGACUGAGACACGGCCCAGACUCCUACGGGAGGCAGCAGUAGGGAAUCUUCCGCAAUGGACGAAAGUCUGACGGAGCAACGCCGCGUGAGUGAUGAAGGCUUUCGGGUCGUAAAACUCUGUUGUUAGGGAAGAACAAGUGCUAGUUGAAUAAGCUGGCACCUUGACGGUACCUAACCAGAAAGCCACGGCUAACUACGUGCCAGCAGCCGCGGUAAUACGUAGGUGGCAAGCGUUAUCCGGAAUUAUUGGGCGUAAAGCGCGCGCAGGUGGUUUCUUAAGUCUGAUGUGAAAGCCCACGGCUCAACCGUGGAGGGUCAUUGGAAACUGGGAGACUUGAGUGCAGAAGAGGAAAGUGGAAUUCCAUGUGUAGCGGUGAAAUGCGUAGAGAUAUGGAGGAACACCAGUGGCGAAGGCGACUUUCUGGUCUGUAACUG